rnacentral:rRNA from 1 species
AUUGAACGCUGGUGGCAGGCUUAACACAUGCAGGUCGAACGGUAACAGGAAUUAGCUUGCUAAUUUGCUGACGAGUGGCGGACGGGUGAGUAAUGCUUGGGAAUCUGGCUUAUGGAGGGGGAUAACUACGGGAAACUGUAGCUAAUACCGCGUAAAAUCUUCGGAUUAAAGGGUGGGACUUUCGAGCCACCUGCCCUAAGAUGAGCCCAAGUGGGAUUAGGUAGUUGGUUAGGUAAAGGCUGACCAAGCCGACGAUCUCUAGCUGGUCUGAGAGGAUGACCAGCCACACUGGAACUGAGACACGGUCCAGACUCCUACGGGAGGCAGCAGUGGGGAAUAUUGCACAAUGGGGGGAACCCUGAUGCAGCCAUGCCGCGUGAAUGAAGAAGGCCUUCGGGUUGUAAAGUUCUUUCGGUGACGAGGAAGGUUGAUAGGUUAAUAGCCUAUCAAAUUGACGUUAAUCACAGAAGAAGCACCGGCUAACUCCGUG